rnacentral:rRNA from 1 species
GACGAACGCUGGCGGCGUGCUUAACACAUGCAAGUCGAACGGAAAGGCCCUGCUUGCAGGGUACUCGAGUGGCGAACGGGCGAGUAACACGUGGGUGUUCUGCCCUGCACUUCGGGAUAAGCCUGGAAAACUGGGUCUAAUACCGGAUAGAAGCCAUUUUUAGUGUGAUGGUUGGAAAGUUUUUUCGGUGUAGGAUGAGCUCGCGGCCUAUCAGCUUGUUGGUGGGGUAAUGGCCUACCAAGGCGGCGACGGGUAGCCGGCCUGAGAGGGUGGACGGCCACAUUGGGACUGAGAUACGGCCCAGACUCCUACGGGAGGCAGCAGUGGGGGAUAUUGCACAAUGGGCGCAAGCCUGAUGCAGCGACGCCGCGUGGGGGAUGACGGCCUUCGGGUUGUAAACUCCUUUCGCUAGGGACGAAGCUUUUUGUGACGGUACCUAGAUAAGAAGCACCGGCUAACUACGUG